CAUAAUGGGGUCCGAGGAGAAGAACGGAGCUCUGACGUCUUUACCCAAACACUCGUAUUGGUUCGACUUCUGGCUUUUCGUAUUAUUCGACAUCGCGUUUUUCCUCUUCAUGUAUUUCAUUGUGCCAUAACUGGAACACAUUCCAGAUGAGCACCGAAAACUCAGUUACCCCCAGGGAUCACAUCAGCAGGGUGGGAACAGCAGAUUCUCCAGGUCUAGGGUGGUUCUGGCCCUCAGACAGACCCAGAUCACACACGUCUCCUGAGCUUCAAAUGCUGCACGCGACGCUACGUUCAUCUGUUUACUCACAACAGAGUGUUUCCCCGGGGUGGUUCUGUAUCUAACCCAAAACAUGGACAGAAAUUCAGAUUUAAAAAUGGAAUUAUUAAAAAAAAAAAAGGAAAAAAAAGCCUUUUGUUGUUUGCAUCAGGGCCUCUCAUGUGCUGAUUGGACAACUGAGUGGAGAAUGAUUGUGAACAUGUAAUGAAUGGACCAAUAAAAGGCUUCAUGCUGUAUUUGCACUGUAGAGUGUUCUGGAACACUGUUGAAAUAAAUGUUUGUAUUUUGGUG